rnacentral:sRNA from 2 species
CCCAAAGAAACGCAGACUAAGAACGCCACGCCCUGUGGCAAUGUCUGCCUGACCCCCAUCCU